ensembl:lncRNA
UCCAAAUAGUCAGACAAGGGUAAGUUAAAUCCAUCACGCUGCUGAAAAGACAUGAAAUGCAACAGCUACCACUGCAUCCUGUAAUUCUUUGGUUCUCCAGGAUGAGAGGCUCUUUUCCAGACAGCACAGCAGGGAGAUGACCAGGAAGGACUUCAAAGGCCUUCUAUGAAGAUGACUAUCUGAAAUGCAUCCAUCUAGACUUGGCUUCUUUCUAUUCAUUAUGCCUUCUGCUAGGCAGCUUCACCCCACCAGGCUGUGCUGUGCUGCCUCACCAGGCUUCAAGUGUUGGGUGGAGAUAUUCGUUCAUUAAGGAGCAAAAGCAUGGGAAAAGAUUACCUCUGGAUUUCAUUUGGUGUUACAUGGAGAUUUUUGGCUUCUUCCUCUCCUCGGAGGCAUAGAUCCAGGGAAAACAAUGUCCAGGAAAGGAAAACAAGGAAGAAAGCACAGAGAAUUACUUAGCUAAUGAAGAGGAAUGGCUGACUUGUCCUGCAAGAGGGCAGUUAGCAGGGACACAUCCCCUCUGGGCUCACCCAGUGAAGAACAGACACCAACACAGACCACUAAAAGGUGAGCAUCGGUGGAGUGACGCUGCAGUUUCUCCAGCUGUGUUUUGUGAGCAUAAUCGAGAUUUCUGUAGUGCCAGUGCUCACAAAACAUCAAAUGGCUCUGACUAUCCAUCUGGAACCGAAACCAUUACAUCCUCCCUGUAUGGCUCUUAGGGGCAGCACAGAACUCAGGACGCAGAUUUGUAUGAUAUAGCGAGGAGAACCAAUCAGAAAAAUGAUGUUAGUGCCGCAUCCUGUCUGAUAAAAGAGCCCAGCAAACAUCCAAAGCACCAUGAUGGUACCGCUGUCUGUCCUCCCUCCCUCCCCACUUCCCUGUCCAUCCUUUCCUAUCCUGACAUUUUGAGACAAGGCACCGAAUGAUCCCUUUUCAAAUGUUACUUUUUCUCCCUGAAUUAUUAUGUUUUUACAGUACGGCAAUUUUAUAAUUAAGAUUAAAUACUUUGUGUAAUUGUUUUGGCUUUUUUUUCCCCCCUCUCAAACAAAAUGGAACCAAGGUUCAAAUCCAGAAAUGCUGUGAAAGGGGAUUUCUAUUCUCCGUGUAGAUGAAUGUAACUAUGAUCAGAGGAAAUAAAACGUAGAGCAAAAAUGCUCUGGAUACAUUGAGGUAGAUUUAUCACCAUAAAUCAUUUGCAUAAAUAAAGGUAAGUUGAUUGUAAUCACUUGAGUAUUUCCUGUAGCUGAAGUUUUACUCUAUUUGUCUUUAUUUCUGCUGUAGUUUCAUCAGCACAAAAAGAUCAAGGAAGCAGUAAUAAAGAAAAAAACAGCACAAAAAAUACCCACAAAAAAAAAGAGCAACAGUAGAUCCAGCCGCUUAGCAGUGGGUGCUUUAUUUUCUCCAUAAUAUUUUCAGAGUGUUUGGGGGAGUAAUUUCAAACAGUCAAGUCAGAGUCCAUUGAGAAUUGAUUUUUGUGACCUCACAUAGUGUAACAGAAAAUUAUAACAGGAAAUAAACCAUUAAGUGAUAAACAAGGAAACAUGGAUACAAUUACUUUCAGAACAUAAUUUUAUUCACUCUAGUUUUGAAAAUGAAGAGAUAGUACUGACUGGAACACCUCAAUUCUGAAUGCAAACUGUACAAUCUAUUAUAUUAAACAAAGUCAAAAGCAAUGUGAAAGAUCUUGAAUCUAUUCAAGGCAUGCACCUCAUUACAGACUUAGCAAAUUAAAACACAAAUAGGAUUAGAAAAGAAUAAUGUAACAAUCUCCCACCAUGGUCCCUGGAGCAUUAAGUCAUAAAUUGGGUUUGCAUUAAAUUGUGCCUGCAGUAUUGAAUUCAGGGAAAGAGCUAUAGGCUGAAGAUAAACCUCGCUAGGCUGGCCAACUUUGGUAUGGCUGUGUGAUUUCAUAAAAACACAAUGAAUCUGUUGGAAUCUAAAAAGGCACAUUCAACGACAUGUAUUUCAUAUCUUAAUUAGAAAACGCAGAUAUGGGGUAGCAAUCUCUGGCUGCAAGAGGUAUAAACCCAGCCAAAAGCUGCAGACAUUUGAAACUGUCACUUCACCUGGAGGUGUUGUUUAAAUAAGGUAAUUCAGCACUUCGUGGCAUCACCUGCUGUGUUAAACUACACAAGUUUCCUGCUUUGCACAAAGCUCUAGUGUGCCCUGAGCUUCUUUUAGCUGGAAGAAACAAUCUUACCCCAAAAGAGCUGAGAGAAGCUGAGUUUCUGAUACAAAUGCAUUCUGUUGUUAUGGGAACUAAAAUGGUGAGCGAUGUGAAAAGGAUCCCUCGCUAACAAAGACCGGCUUGAUGAUAUUAUGGCAGCAGCUAUGCAAAAAGCAAAUAUAUCUGCAAGAAACAAACAGAGCUUCUCCAAAGAAGACGCAGGUUCCUG